AAAUAAGAAGCAAUUAUUUGCAUUUAGUUUCGACCUAAAAAUUGAUUUUUAAUCCUUAUUUU
rnacentral:tRNA from 1 species